AAAUGAUUUAAAAAAAAAACACAGUAAGAACUCAUGCCAAAAGCAUUUUUUUUGAAACUAAAUGUAUUACUAAUGUAUGUAUCUCAAAUUUUGUAAAUGUGCUCCUUUCAGUUAAAUUCUCAAAACAUCCUUAAAAAGAUUUUUGGUAUAUUCUCUUAUAUAGUUCCCCGCAUAUGCUCGAAGCAAAGUUCGCAGUGUCUUCUUUUUAGAGUUUUCUAUUUACAAUUAACAGACAGGCUAGAUGAGAACACCUUUUUUCAAAACAAUCUUCAAGUGCUGCAACAAGCGAUAAGUCCGAAAACAUAUUAAAGGUUGCUGUUUUGUUCCUUCAUUAUUUUGCACAGCAGCAUGUGAGCGAAAAUUGGCUUUUUCUUGCAUUACAUCAGGAAAAUUCAAUAAUAAAAAAAAUGACAUUUCGGAGAAACGAGCUGAUGGCCAUGUUACCGGGCAUAUCGUACGAAUGGUUUUGCAAAACGAUCUAAUCAAAUGUCGAAGAUAUCUCGCACGAAUUCAAAACUUCGAUUAAAAUCUCUAACUAAUUAGUAAACUAAAGAUAGUUUUUUUGUGCAAGGCGCUUCUUUCAUUUCAUCUACACAUACUCUCUAACUUACUCACCCGUCUAAUGCGACAUAGCGAUACGCUAAGUAAGUUUCUUGCGUUUCGAUAGAUCUUACAUACCUUAUCUUAUCUUAUCUAAUGUCGCAAUUAGUGGAAACUAUCGCAGAGUGUGCAGAAUAUUUAAACAAAUGUUACCGAUAUUAAUUUUGAACUUUAAUAAGCGUAAAGGAAAUUCAGAGCCUAAAAUUUCCAAAAAGAACAAAAAACAAACAAAUUUGGCGUGA